GACCAACUGAAUGAAAAUGAAAACUUAAGAGUUGCUACCCCAGUAGAGUAAAUGCCUUUCGAAGUUGGAUUCUCUCAAGGAAGAUUCUAUUACCUGUGGUGGAGCACAACACCUGGGAGAAAGAGGUAGGCCUUGCCAGAUACUUCUCAGAACACAGGAAUGAGGAUUCUCUGAUAGCAUUCUGUGUCAUCCAAUUGACUACAUAGGACCAAUGGGCUACGGGCAGCAUGUGUACCAUGUUGGCAGCAAAAGGAGAGAUGAGGCUAUGAAGACAUACAUUAAUUAAAGAAGUUGUCAAGUUGAAGUUUGGGAUAGAUUGAGAUUUAGAACUCAAGAUUCAGGAAGUCUCCUCUGCAUGUUGGAUAGGUGUCUAGUCCAACUAAGUGUGCAUUCAACAUCUGGGGCUCAGGAUAUAGGAAGAGAAAUCAUUCUGGCAAUGAAGAUGAAAGCAGCAGGAAGGAAUUCCAUUUGUCUCAAAAAAUUAAAAAAUAAACAGAGAUUUUAAACCAAAGGAAUGGAGUUGUAAAAUGGACUAGUCGAUCAAAAUCAAUCAAAAAUACACAGCCCCACAGAAUUAGAAAAUGCCCAGAGGAUGCACGAGGCACUGAAGAUCCCCGGAUGCCACUUACAGGAUGCGGUAAUCUCUUUUGCCCAUUUACAAUUCUUUGACAUUUUGUUCCUGACAGGAACUACGAGAGAGUCUCCCCUCAUGUCAUGUAAAAUAAAUGUCUAAACAUAUGUGAGGCUAAUACUUUA
rnacentral:lncRNA from 1 species